ACGAACGCUGGCGGCGUGCCUAACACAUGCAAGUCGAGCGGAGGGGAAAGGAGCUUGCUUCUUGAACCUUAGCGGCGGACGGGUGAGUAACACGUGGGUAACCUGCCCUUGGGAGGGGGAUAACACGUCGAAAGGGCUGCUAAUACCGCAUAACACUAAAAAGCUGCAUGGCGUCUUAGCCAAAGGUUAAUUCCGCUCAAGGAUGGGCCCGCGGCCCAUUAGCUAGUUGGUGAGGUAAUGGCUCACCAAGGCGACGAUGGGUAGCCGGCCUGAGAGGGUGGUCGGCCACACUGGGACUGAGACACGGCCCAGACUCCUACGGGAGGCAGCAGUGGGGAAUAUUGCGCAAUGGGGGAAACCCUGACGCAGCAACGCCGCGUGAGCGAUGAAGGCCUUCGGGUUGUAAAGCUCUGUCUUCCCUGACGAUAAUGACGGUAAGGGAGGAGGAAGCCUCGGCUAACUACGUGCCAGCAGCCGCGGUAAUACGUAGGUGGCGAGCGUUGUCCGGAAUUACUGGGCGUAAAGGGUGCGUAGGCGGCUCUUUAAGUGGGAUGUGAAAUCCAUGGGCUCAACCCAGGAAUUGCAUUCCAAACUGAAGAGCUAGAGUGCAGGAGAGGAAAGCGGAAUUCCCAGUGUAGCGGUGAAAUGCGUAGAGAUUGGGAGGAACACCAGUGGCGAAGGCGGCUUUCUGGACUGUAACUGACGCUGAGGCACGAAAGCGUGGGGAGCAAACAGGAUUAGAUACCCUGGUAGUCCACGCUGUAAACGAUGGGUACUAGGUGUAGGGGGCGAAGCCCUCUGUGCCGCAGCUAAC
rnacentral:rRNA from 1 species